CAGCUCACACUGCGCUCACUCCUCUGAUGUGGCUCCAGUUCAUGAACUUGACAGGGUUCUCCAUCAACUUGUGGGGUUGUUUACCCUCCUGAGGAGUUGAAAAGGCAACGUUGUUGAGCUGGGAUUUUCAGCAUUAUAAACUCCGAAAACGCAAAAUCAAGAAGAUCCAAUGAUGUCUCGUGAGUAAACAUAGUAUAAUAUGCGACAAAAUAGUUACUCAACAUAUUCAAGUGCAUUUAUGUGGUCAUCAUAAUGCAAUGAGGUAUGCAUGUAUAGGAAAACACAUAGUAUAUAUGGGGUUCGAGACUAUCUGAGGAUUCAGGCAUCCACUGAGGGGCUUGACACAUAACUUCCACUAAUAAGGGGGAACUACUGUAUAUA